AGGAAGAAGACCUUGAUUUUCUCCUGGCUUCAGAGAAGUACGUUCUUGUGAAAAAAGAAAAGCAGGAGAACAAGAAAGAAGUAGUUUCUCACCCGGCUCCGAAAUCUGGUACCCUGCCAGGCAUGGGAGUGCUGGAUUUAGAAGACCUUGAAUUUCUCGAGUAUUUAGAG